GGAGCACUCUGAAAAUCAUGAGCAUAGUCGUUGUCCAAGGAGUCAAACCCCUUAAAGAUCAAACAGGGAAAACUGUUGAACUAUGAGAAAAAUCACCGAGGAAUCAGUAUGGCUGAGCCUAUAGAUAGACCAUUCCUCACAAGAGCACUCCCUGAAAAUCAAGCCACUCAGAAGGACCCAUGAGCAUCGACAAAUCUCGGAGCCAAGAUGGUGAACAGAGGAACUUGCAGGUAGUUCAUGGAACACUCCGCAUUGGCACAAAGACGAGCAGAG
rnacentral:misc_RNA from 1 species